rnacentral:rRNA from 1 species
UUAGUCCUACGGGGGGCAGCAGUGGGGGGUAUUGGACAAUGGGGGGAACCCUGAUCCAGCGACGCCGCGUGAGUGAAGAAGUAUUUCGGUAUGUAAACCUCUUUUGUCGGGGAGCAAAGAGAGUCACGUGUGGCUCAUUGAGAGUACCCGAAGAAAAAGCAUCGGCUAACUCCGUGCCAGCAGCCGCGGUAAUACGGAGGAUGCGAGCGUUAUCCGGAUUUAUUGGGUUUAAAGGGUGCGCAGGCGGAGGUGCAAGUCAGUGGUCAAAUUGCGGGGCUCAACCCCGUACUGCCGUUGAAACUGCA